CGCUGUGAACGACACAGUUCCUGUCAAAAGUCUUGUAUUGCUUCUAGAGACCCCUACUGCGGCUGGAUGUCACAUGGAGCUUGUGAGCGUAUUCCUGCAGCUAUACAAACUGGUUAUGAGCAAGAUGUUGAAUACGGCAACAUAGCUCACCUCGGCGAUUGUCAUGGUGAGCUCAUCAACACGUGCCCCUUUUAAAAAAAAAUAGUUAGUAGUUGUGACGUCAAUAACCCCCUCACACUCUCAGCAGAUGGAAAUUAACACAUAUCACACAAACAUCAUACUAAUUCCUCUGACAAUUAAACACUCACACAUACGUUGUGUAGGCCUUAACAUUAUAGAAAGUGAAAGAGCGAUACA